UCAAUAAGUAUUUAAAUUCUAGCUAUUAAUGAAUAAAUUUAAAUUGUCUCCUUAAACGUUGAUCUUGAUUUCCGAUACCCAGCCCCUGUAGUAGCGAGCCCUAAAAAAAAGGGGUCAUGAAGUAUAGAGGAAGAUGGCAGAUUAUGACCAAGGAAGGGUGGGCGUGGUCCUUCAUUCCAGCUGAGGACGUCCUUUAAUCCGUUCGUUUCGCGUGCGUGUGCAUAUGUGUAUCAGAAUAGACAAAUAAACAGAACACCACCCUUUUGCCGACGAGACAGUAGCCGGAAUGAUAGCGUGCUGGUCGACCUCUGAUGAAAACAUCAGUCCUACUAAUCGUUGUCCACUACAUAAAAACAAAAAACUCGAAAAGGUACUUAUAUUAUUAUAUUAAAGUUUAUGCAGCAGGACAGUGAGUAAGUAAUAUUUUAAAAUUAAUGCGUGCUCUGCGCGUACGCUCCGCUCCACCCACAUUUUUUCCGCCCAUCAUUUCGCCGUCAUUUUUCUACUGGAGGGAUCCUAAGCUACGUUUCCUUAUUAUAAUUAAGAUUUUGACCUUUCCUUGUUCUCUAGAUUUAAGCAUUGACUUUGCAGUUUUAGGUUAAGGGCGAGGGGGGAAAGGCUACACGUUUUUAAUUUGUUAUUAUACGGCCCGAGGGGUAUCUGAGCCCCACGUAGCCUUUUAUUUUCACGGCAGACGCCACUGACUUUUCAGGGUCGGUAAACCAACAACAACGACGCAGCAGCGGCAAACGAGAGACGACGAAAACGCCGAGAACCGUAAGUCAGCAAGCAACAAAACAACGGCAAUGAAAAGAACGAAACGACGAGAACCGCAAGCCGACAGCAUCGACGCAGCAGCGGCAGAAGAGAAACGACGAGAACCGCAAGCCAACAGCAACGACGCGCCAGUAGCACUGGGCACUGCCUCCAGCGGUAGUCGCCUUCUGCUGUUGCUCUUGUUUGCAGAGGCUGCCAAUGCUGCCCGGCUGCUGGGAUGGAAUUAUGACAUGUUCCAGGAUGCGAAAACUCGGAUUAUGGGUCGAUUUCUGUUGGGAUAGAAUAGAUAGAUAGAUGCGAUCUUGUGAAUUUCAAGUUUAAUUGCAUUUACUUACUGAUUGUGUCUGCACCACCACACUCGGUUUGUCUGCGGGCGAU